rnacentral:rRNA from 1 species
UACGUAGGGACCAAGCGUUGUCCGGAAUCAUUGGGCGUAAAGAGCGUGUAGGCGGCUUGUUAAGUCUUGCGUGAAAUCUCGGGGCUCAACCCCGAGCGGUCGUGAGAAACUGGCAGGCUAGAGUGCGGGAGAGGAGAGUGGAAUUCCUGGUGUAGCGGUGAAAUGCGCAGAUAUCUGGAGGAACACCGGUGGCGAAGGCGGCAUCCUGGACCGGCAUUGACGCUGAGGCGCGAAAGCCAGGGGAGCAAACGGG